UGCCUCCUUGUUCUUGUCUGCCUUAGUAGGUUUGACUGGAAAAAAAAGAAGUGAAAAUGAGCUUCUAUUUGUUUUGCCACUGGAUUUGUUGAAGUCUGUUUGGGAAGAUAGUGAAGCUAAUCUCACUAAUGGACUCAUAAAUGCUGCCCAGUUUGGGAGAAGCAGAAGUGAACAAAUAUGUGCCACUGGCUAUCUGUCAGAGUGGUUACGGUGCUAAUGAAAAUUUGGAACGCCAUUGCAAGCUGGAAUGUUUGGCAGAAGCAAGAAUAUUUCUGUGCUGUUUAUGAGGUAUAUAAAAAGAUUCAGUAUGCUAAGUGUGGAAUACUCUGCAGAAGAAAAUUCUUUUCCUUGAAGCAUGAAGUGAGUGCUAGAAAUGACCUCUGUCAUUUACAUUUGAAACAUA